AGAGUUUGAUCCUGGCUCAGAUUGAACGCUGGCGGCAUGCCUAACACAUGCAAGUCGAACGGAAACGAUGCUAGCUUGCUAGCAGGCGUCGAGUGGCGGACGGGUGAGUAAUAUAUAGGGAUCUGCCUAAUAGUGGGGGACAACGUGUGGAAACGCACGCUAAUACCGCAUACGCUCUACGGAGGAAGUGGGGAUCUUCGGACUCAUGCUAUAGAUGAUCUAUAUCGAUAGCUAG
rnacentral:rRNA from 1 species